CUACGUGCCAGCAGCCGCGGUAAUACGUAGGGCGCGAGCGUUGUCCGGAAUUAUUGGGCGUAAAGAGCUUGUAGGCGGUUUGUCGCGUCUGCUGUGAAAGGCCGGAGCUUAACUCCGUGUAUUGCAGUGGGUACGGGCAGACUAGAGUGCAGUAGGGGAGACUGGAAUUCCUGGUGUAGCGGUGGAAUGCGCAGAUAUCAGGAAGAACACCGAUGGCGAAGGCAGGUCUCUGGGCUGUAACUGACGCUGAGAAGCGAAAGCAUGGGGAGCGAACAGGAUUAGAUACCCUGGUAGUCCAUGCCGUAAACGUUGGGCACUAGGUGUGGGGGACAUUCCACGUUUUCCGCGCCGUAGCUAACGCAUUAAGUGCCCCGCCUGGGGAGUACGGCCGCAAGGCUAAAACUCAAAGAAAUUGACGGGGGCCCGCACAAGCGGCGGAGCAUGCGGAUUAAUUCGAUGCAACGCGAAGAACCUUACCAAGGCUUGACAU
rnacentral:rRNA from 1 species